rnacentral:rRNA from 1 species
CCUACGGGCGGCAGCAGUGGGGAAUAUUGCACAAUGGGCGAAAGCCUGAUGCAGCAACGCCGCGUGAGUGAUGAAGGCCUUCGGGUCGUAAAGCUCUUUCCUCAAGGAAGAAAAUGACUGUACUUGAGGAGGAAGCCCCGGCUAACUACGUGCCAGCAGCCGCGGUAAUACGUAGGGGGCUAGCGUUAUCCGGAAUUACUGGGCGUAAAGGGGGCGUAGGGGGGUUCGUAAGUCUGAGGUGAAAGGCUACGGCUCAACCGUAGUACGCCAUUGAAACUGGGGAACUUGAGUGCAGGAAAGGAGAGUGGAAUGCCUAGUGUAGCGGUGAAAUGCGUAGAUAUUAGGAGGAACACCAGUUGCGAAGGCGGCUCUCUGGACUGUAACUGACACUGAGGCACGAAAGCGUGGGGAGCAAACAGGAUUAGAUACCCGAGUAGUC